rnacentral:lncRNA from 1 species
GGCGAUUAUAGCUAAUGAACUAGAAAUUCAGAAGAACAAAUGCAUCAUUUUAGGGGACUCAUAAGAAAAUUAACUUCAUCCUUUGCCUCUGAAGAAGGCUUAAGAAAGAUCAGUACUAUUAGAAGAAAGAGCAGUACUAAUGAGCAGUACUAUUAAACUAGCUUAAAACUCCUUACAGCUCUCAGCAUUCACCACAUCCUCAGACUUAAAACUAAUGAGACUUUUACAGUUUUUGGAGCUCUUUGCAUUUUGAAAAGCUCAUUAAUAAGUUACCAACAAAUAAGCUAGUUUAAAAUAAAGCUCAUUAAUUUUACAUGGGUUGUCUCCGCGCGCGGAUCGACUCAAGUCGUUUUUAUUCUAUCCUUCAACUUCUUCAUGUGGAUUUCCUCAAAUACCUCAUUAUGAGUAACUAGUCUUCCUUUAGCCUUUUCCUGAAAAAUAAACAAUAUCUUAAGAAAUGAUAUAUUCCCUAUAUAUUCCCAAUUACAUCUGGAAAGAACUUAAUCAUCUUCGUUAUUCUUCUUCCUAUCUCUGCCAUUAUAUUCGCUCUUUAACGUGCCAAUUCAUAAAUGCACAUAAGUUAACCAAAAGAUUACUUUUUGGAUAGAAUAGACUUUUCAACGAAAGAGAAGUGGGUGAAAAGUUGAAAAAUAAUGUUCAGAGAAAAGAUGUACAAUGUACUAGUCCCCUAAGCAGUACAUCACUAUUUUGAUCAUUUUCAUAUAUUUUCACACGGCACACCUGCUCCUUAUAUACCUAAUUACUGUUUUAAUAUUUCUCCUUUUAAUGCUUAAUAAGUACUAUCUUAGGCAAAAGCACUUCCUAAGCACUAUCCGUUUCUGGUUAAAUUAACUCGUGCUGCAUAAUCAGAAGAGCUUGAAGGGAAAAAGGAUAACUAGAAAAACUAAUUUCGAACAUUCGAAGCAAUAGAAUAUCUUGGUUUACAUAUCUAAAAUACGAAAUGACCAGUAGUCAUGCUGAUUAUAGGUUUGACGAAUACACUUUACUGAGAGUACAUCUGAUCUAAGUAAAGAAAACCAAAUUUAAAUUUAAAAAUCAGCCUUUUCACAAACAAUGAACUUACUCCAUAAUGCCAAAUCACCCAUCACUUAAUUCACACACACACAAGACACAAAUCUCAAAACCCCGCAUGCUCUAACAAUAGAUAUCUAUUUCAUAAAUAAAAAAGAAAAAACUUACAGUACAACAUACUUUUUCAACAUUAUUAGAUGUCAAGCUAAAUAUAUCAACAACUACUCAGAUUAUAACAUGUUAACUGAGAACUUACUCACAUAUGCGUAGAUAGGAGAUAUGAAGUAUAUUACUCUGAAUGAUAGUCGAAAACUUUGCCAUGACUGGCGUAACAUAGUACUGCUGGAUCCUGAAGACUGUAAGCCCCUUUCUAGGUGAGUUGAUGUCUUCUGUUAUAACGAUUAAAGUUUAUUAAAGUAUAUAUCGAGGUUUGAAACAGUAUAAAAUUAAGAGAACAACAUUAAUUUUUUAAACCUAGGGUUUAAAACAGUAUAAAAUCCCUAAAAUUCGAAGUCUUUUGGGGGAAAUCAAAACGAAAAAAGGAGAUCGGGUGAGUGAGUGAGAGAGAGAGAGGUCGACUUACCUGGGAAUGGAAACUCGUCUCUGCGUGGAGUGAGAGAGACGAAAAAUUUUAUUUUGAGUCUCAUACAACUGAUACUAGUUGUAUGAGCAACUUUUUUGUCUCACAGUUUUAUGGACCCAGAUUUCUGUAGACCAGAAGUAUAUUGGGGUCCACAAAUUUGUAAGACAAAAAUGAGUCUCAUACAACUAGUAUAAGUUGUAUGAGACACAAUAAAUCUUCUCGAGAGAAACAGAGGGGGAAAACACUAAA